GGCUGAUCAAGUUAUCGCGUCCCAUCACCAGAGGUCUCGUGCUUGUCCAUUUCUGACGAAGACUCUUUCUCCUCAACGAGCCAAAAUCUUUUAUUUCGGGGGCGUAUGAUCCCUCGACCGGACCUGUCUGUCUCUUCUCGAACACAUGGAGUGCCCAAAAUAGCAAAAGAGGUUUUUGCAAUCAUCUGCAGUCAUUUGUUUGGAGAGUUUAGCAUCACAGUGAUUUUGUGCCUGGCAAGCGCAACCUCAAGUAAACAAGAAGCCAUCAGGGAUGUGAAUCUUGAUGUGAAGCCGUGGGGGCCGUUUUCUCUGGACAGCUUUAUGUGUGGAUUUGAGACAUCUCAGCAUGAGAGAGACAUCUUUACGGGCAGCACUGUCUGAGAAAUACAGGCAGGACCAGAGGAGUGCCUGAUAUCAGAAGUGCAGAGACCCAAACAAGCUUUAUCAGCUCAUUAAAACCAAUGCCCGAGUAUCUGUCCUUAAAAAGCAAUGUGGAGAUGUGAAUCUUCUUUGCCAAUGUGUCACUUUUUUAGAUUUAAGGUGAAUCAGAUUUGGAUAUAGUUUAAAUAGAACUGCUCGGGAAGCAAUUACACAAUUAAAAAAAUACACAACAGAAUAUUUUAAGUACUAUGUGCAUCUAUCUGAUGUCAACUUUUUAAAGUGAACAUAUGCAGAGAUUUAAUCCAUUCCUCGAAAAUAAUUUUGAGGUACCCCAGAUGUCAUUAUUCUCUGCUGAUGUGUUGGAACGUAAAUUAAAAAACACAAAUGAAUGGGGAAAUCUAUUCUAAUAUC